UACGUAGGGGGCAAGCGUUGUCCGGAUUUAUUGGGCGUAAAGAGCGUGUAGGCGAUCAGGUAGGUCCGUUGUGAAAACUCGAGGCUCAACCUCGAGACGCCGAUGGAAACCAUCUGACUAGAGUCCGGAAGAGGAGAGUGGAAUUCCUGGUGUAGCGGUGAAAUGCGCAGAUAUCAGGAGGAACACCGGUGGCGAAGGCGCCACUCUGGGCCGGUACUGACGCUGAGGAGCGAAAGCGUGGGGAGCAAACAGG
rnacentral:rRNA from 1 species